CCCUGGGCCGGGGAGGGAGGGCGGCCGGGGGGCGCCAACGGCCGGCGGUGGGGGCCGGGGCGGUAGCGCCGGCCGGGGAGGCGCCGCUCGCCGCGCCGGGUCACGUGGCGCGGUCACGUGGCGCGCAGCCGGGCCGGCGGCGGCGGCGGUGAAGGGAGGCGGAGACUCGGCCGAGACGCGGGGGGAGGCGGCGGCGGCGGCGAUGCGGGGCUGCUGGAGGCGGAGAGGCACGGAGGAGCCGCUGGGGCUGCCGCCACGGCCGCCCGGAGGUGAGCGGGCGCGGGGCCACUGUCGCCGCCGCGCAGUCCCGCGGGAGGGGGCGCCGGCCCGAGCGUCGUCCCUGCCCCGCCGGGCGUGUGUGCCCCUGCGGUGGGCCCCGGGGUCUGCGCGGCGGGCUUGGUGGGCGCGGCGGGCGGGGGUCGGGGCGGUGGCUGCGGGAGUCUUGGGAGGGGGCGGCGCAAGGGGGCGUCUGACCCGGGCCCGGCGGCCGUGGCCGCUGCUUGGCUGUGGGAGCCU
rnacentral:lncRNA from 1 species